rnacentral:rRNA from 1 species
AUUGAACGCUGGCGGCAUGCCUUACACAUGCAAGUCGAACGGCAGCAUGAUCUAGCUUGCUAGAUUGAUGGCGAGUGGCGAACGGGUGAGUAAUACAUCGGAACGUGCCCUGUAGUGGGGGAUAACUAGUCGAAAGAUUAGCUAAUACCGCAUACGACCUGAGGGCGAAAGUGGGGGACCGCAAGGCCUCAUGCUAUAGGAGCGGCCGAUGUCUGAUUAGCUAGUUGGUGAGGUAAAGGCUCACCAAGGCGACGAUCAGUAGCUGGUCUGAGAGGACGAUCAGCCACACUGGGACUGAGACACGGCCCAGACUCCUACGGGAGGCAGCAGUGGGGAAUUUUGGACAAUGGGCGAAAGCCUGAUCCAGCAAUGCCGCGUGUGUGAAGAAGGCCUUCGGGUUGUAAAGCACUUUUGUCCGGAAAGAAAUGGCUCUGGUUAAUACCUGGGGUCGAUGACGGUACCGGAAGAAUAAGAACCGGCUAACUACGUG